rnacentral:rRNA from 1 species
UACGGGGGGAGCAAGCGUUGUUCGGAUUUACUGGGCGUAAAGGGCGCGUAGGCGGCCACCGCAAGUCGACUGUGAAAUCUCCGGGCUUAACCCGGAAAGGUCAGCCGAUACUGCGGGGCUAGAGUGCAGAAGGGGCAACUGGAAUUCUCGGUGUAGCGGUGAAAUGCGUAGAUAUCGAGAGGAACACCUGCGGCGAAGGCGGGUUGCUGGGCUGACACUGACGCUGAGGCGCGAAAGCCAGGGUAGCGAACGGG